rnacentral:rRNA from 1 species
CGGGGUGCAGCAGGCGCGAAAACUUUACAAUGCGGGAAACCGUGAUAAGGGGACACCGAGUGCCAGCAUCCUAUGCUGGCUGUCCGGGUGUGUAAAAUACACCUGUUAGCAAGGGCCGGGCAAGACCGGUGCCAGCCGCCGCGGUAACACCGGCGGCCCGAGUGGUGAUCGUGAUUAUUGGGUCUAAAGGGUCCGUAGCCGGUUUGGUCAGUCCUCCGGGAAAUCUGACAGCUUAACUGUUAGGCUUUCGGAGGAUACUGCCAGACUUGGAACCGGGAGAGGUAAGAGGUACUACAGGGGUAGGAGUGAAAUCUUGUAAUCCCUGUGGGACCACCUGUGGCGAAGGCGUCUUACCAGAACGGGUUCGACGGUGAGGGACGAAAGCUGGGGGCACGAACCGGAUUAGAUACCCGGGUAGUCCCAGCCGUAAACGAUGCUCGCUAGGUGUCAGGCAUGGCGUGACCGUGUCUGGUGCCGCAGGGAAGCCGUGAAGCGAGCCACCUGGGAAGUACGGCCGCAAGGCUGAAACUUAAAGGAAUUGGCGGGGGAGCAC